rnacentral:rRNA from 1 species
GACAGAAGAGCCAAGCGUUGUCCGGACUGACUGGGCGUAAAGCGCACGCAGGCGGCGCUGCGCGUGGGGUGUGAAAGCUCUUGGCUUAACUGAGAGAGGCCAUCCCAUACGGCAGUGCUCGAGCGGUGCAGAGGUCCGCGGAAUUGCCGGUGUAGUGGUGAAAUGCGUAGAGAUCGGCAGGAACACCCAGGGGGAAACCAGCGGACUGGGCAUCAGCUGACGCUCAGGUGCGACAGCGUGGGGAGCGAACCGG